GGUUUUCACCAUAUUGGUCAGGCUGGUCUUGAACUCCUGACCUGAGGCAAUCCAUCUGCCUCAGCCUCCCAAAGUGCUGGGAUUACAGGUGUGAGCCACCAUGCCCGGCCUAUUUUUUGUAUUUUUAGUAGAGGUUUCACCAUGUUGGCCAGGCUGGUCUCGAACUCCUGCCUCAGGUGAUCCACCCACCUCAGCCUCCCAAAAUGAUGGCAUUAUAGGCGUGAGCCACCACGCCCCGCCUGGUCUUCUGAUUUCAAAGCCUGCAUGUCCUUCCUCAAUGCCGUGCUGGGUUUUCAGAAAGCCAAGUGCCAGGCCAGGGCUUGCAGAGGGGCUGAAAUGAAGCCAGUCCAGAAGACAGAGCAGCCAGGACUCUCACUGAACAGAGCAGCCAGGACCUGGGCAGCAGCACUAUUGGGAUUUGAGGACUCUCCAGCCCGUUUGGAAGAGCCUAGGCUCUCUCUGCCCGGUUGCAUAGGUUCUCGUACUCAUGAUUGGGGGGUGCAAUGGGGAAGCUGGGCAUGGGAGAGGAUGACUCAUGCCCUGAAAGUCCAUGAGAGGCCUCCUCUCCCCACAUCUGCAGAAACCAGCCUGGACACCAAGUCUGUGUCAGAAGGCCACCUCAAGAGGAACAUCGUGGUGAAGACAGUGGAGAUGCGGGAUGGAGAGGGUACCCACCCAGAGACAUCUGGUAUCAUUUAACAAACACAUUGAAGGACAACUGGUCUUCAGAGCUGAAGAGAUAUCCUAGGGGGAGAAGUUAGGACAACAGUGAAAUAAGUAGCAGCAGCAACGACAGAGGUGAAUGGUGACAAAGACUGCCGUGAUGAGCAGGUAGCCUAUCAGGGUGAGCUCCACAGCAGAGCGAGUCUCAGGAUCCGAGAACGAGGCUGGGUAGCGCCCACGAGAUGUCACACCCAGCCGGAAACCAGCAACUCGCACACCCUGCCUCCAGCAAUAGUAGAUGCCCCGGUCAUCCAGCUGGGUGAAGCGGAUGUGGAGCUGGUUGCCGUGGUCAAUGAACACCCUCAUGGACCUGUUGACACCCUUCAGGUACUGUGUGCGGUAGAGGUGCUGGCGGUCUUUGUCCCAGGCCACUGCAUGCUCUGGCCGGGCCCCAGGACAGGAGAUGAUGAGGCCAUGGCCCAGUCUCUGCUGGUGGAACUGAAUGGGCACCUGGGGCACCCAGGGCCGGCUGCCCACUUUGGACACAUAGUUAACGAUGGCCAGCACGCCCUCCCGGAUGGUCUUCGUCUUCUCACAGGGUACUAAGCAGCUCCGAACCAGCACCUCAGGCGUGUGGUCCCUGGCCUUGGUCCACAGCUUCCUUGGCACAGCCCUUGAGCCACAAGACACCACAUCGGGCACCGCCUUGAGGUAGCGUGGGGAGAGGUCUGGGCUCUGCAGGUAGCAGAGGCCAAUGCGCCACUGCUCCCCACGUACCCCGCAGCGGUCACAGGGGGUCCAUUCCCAGAAGGUGGUGAAGACAUGGAGGUGCCCAUAGUAUUCAUCUGCGAAGGGCUCCUGGCCCUCGUCCUGGAAAGUGGCCACCAUUCCCUCACUGUUCUGGAUGUCCACAUCGUAGGCGUAAAAGUAGUCCCCCUUGCGGGUGCCGCAGAAGUACAGGCCUGAGUCCUCAGGCUGAGCCCUGAAAACCAACAGGCUGAACAUGCGGAUGCUGAAGCGGGUCAGCAUGUCGCUGCCCACACGUACCUGGGCUGCCUCUGUCAGCACCCGCCCAUCAAAGUCCGUCAGCACUUUGGUGUGGCUGCUACCUAGGUGCUUUUGGUAGAACCAGACUACAGCUGUCAUCUUUUCGGGUUUGCAGUGACAGGGAAGCUCAAAGCUCAUGUCGGCCAGGUAGGCCGCAUUUUCAAACAUCAGGAAAGCAGGGCAGGGGGUCUUCUGAAAAAUGUUUUCUUUCUCCACAAUUUCGAAGGCCUGGAGACUCCCCCAUGCCCACAGGAGCACAGUGGUGGGGGCCAGGUGCAUGCCUGAAGGAGGCAGGGGUCAGAGGAGCAGGGCAAAACCAAGGCAUUAAAGGCUCAUGGGGCUCCUAGAAAGCACUGCUGAGCGGAGGCCUCUGGAUGAGGAAAGGAUUAUGCAGCUAGGAAAAGCAGCAACAAUCUGCAGAGGAAGCCGCCAAGUGCAAGGCAAUGUAUUCCCGGUGGAUGCCCUUCUAACAUUCCAGACCUGAUCUCGAGGGGAAAGCCAUUCUAGAACCUGGCCUUCACUCCCCUUUCUAGAACACUGGCACUCACCCAAGAAUGGGUCAAAGGAAACCGGAAUGAGAAGGGCGGGCCGAGGUGCUCGGGCAGGGAGAUCUCUGCCUCAGUGCUCCAGGCCCUGUCCUGCCGGCCUGGUGGAAAAGUCUUUCAUCAACCUGGGGGAUGAAGGAAACCCACCCUCCUGUAUAUCUGGCCAUUUGGGAGGCUGGCUGGACCUGAGCUGAUGGCUUGGGGCUUUCCCAGGCCCAACCUGCACAAGAACUGAGUCUCCAGGGGAAAAUUCAACACCUCAAAUGAGGUAGUAUUUGAUCAUUUGUUGAUUACACGUCCAUUCAUUGGUUU
rnacentral:sRNA from 1 species